GUACUCAGCACAGGAGCCGGCAUGGAGCCUCGCCGUCGGGCCUAUGCCCGAUUCCCACGCCGCUGAUGCCAGGUCGUGCUUCUGCCCUCACCCCCGACCUUAUCCUCUCUGGGCGGCCUCGUUCCCCUUCCCCUCCUUUCUUCCUGCUCCUGCUCGAAUCGAGCCGAGCAGAGGCGCAGCUGCCGGCGCCCCAGCCACCCCGGUCGCACCUCCCUCCGAUCCCGCGCGCCUAAGGCCUCCCUACCUCGUCCUGUACCUCCGGCCGCUGUUUCCCUAGCUAGCCAAGGGCUACCUUGGCCGAAUCGGCCCCCACUCUGACCGGCCGCCAUGGAAGCCCCGCUCGAAGCUCCGGGUCCCCGUCGAUCCGAACCCUCCAGUCCUCCUCCGCCCGAAUCGAGGUCGUGGUGAGCUCCCCCACAUCCCCCUCGACCUCCCCAGCCCAUUCACCGACCGCCACAAACCACUCCCUCACCGGAAACCGAGCUACAGCACCACCUCCACCACUGCUCCGCCGCCAGCCCCCCUCCCGACCACCUCCCGCCCUAGCUAUUGUUUCAAAUUGGUCGCAGGCGAGCCCCUCGUGCUUCCCCACCACUCCUCGGCCGCCGGCAUGGGCUCCUCUCGCCAGAACCGAGCUCCCUGAGUGCCUCCUCUACUCCCAGUUCGCGUGAAGGACCCCGUGCAGAAAUUCAAGGAAGUCCAGGGGCUUUUAUGCAUUGUCAUAGACUCAGAUACGCUAGAUGGACAACGCGUGGACAUGAAGCACGUAAUGACGGAACCAAACUCCAAGAUGGCGUUGGUGGACGUAUCCUGAAGAGAGAAGGACCAGCUAGAGCAACUGAAGACCCGGCCCAAGGUCAGAAGGGCCCAAGGCCUUGCUAGUAUUAACACUGACUUAGUGUUACCCAAGCAAGUCCCGGAGCAUAUCCCUUACUUUUAAUUAUAUCAUGUUAUAUCUAAAGCAUUGUGCAUUUACGUUCAAGGAGUUGAUUGGAACCAUAGAUGCAUAAUCUCUUUUA